rnacentral:rRNA from 1 species
UAUACCGCCUGGGGAGUACGGUCGCAAGAUUAAAACUCAAAGGAAUAGACGGGGACCCGCACAAGCGGUGGAGCAUGUGGUUUAAUUCGAAGAUACGCGAAGAACCUUACCUGGGCUUGAUAUCCAACUAAUCUCUUAGAGAUAAGAGAGUGCUAGCUUGCUAGAACGUUGAGACAGGUGCUGCACGGCUGUCGUCAGCUCGUGUCGUGAGAUGUUGGGUUAAGUCCCGCACGAGCGCAACCCACGU